rnacentral:rRNA from 1 species
UACGAAGGGGGCUAGCGUUGCUCGGAAUCACUGGGCGUAAAGGGUGCGUAGGCGGGUCUUUAAGUCAGGGGUGAAAUCCUGGAGCUCAACUCCAGAACUGCCUUUGAUACUGAGGAUCUUGAGUUCGGGAGAGGUGAGUGGAACUGCGAGUGUAGAGGUGAAAUUCGUAGAUAUUGCAAGAACACCAGUGGCGAAGGCGGCUCACUGGCCCGAUACUGACGCUGAGGCACGAAAGCGUGGGGAGCAACGGGGA